GCAUGUCUAAGUAUAAGCAACUAUACUGUGAAACUGCGAAUGGCUCAUUAAAUCAGUCAUAAUUUAUUUGAUAGUACCUUUACCUGGAUAACCGUGGUAAUUCUAGAGCUAAUACAUGCUAAAAACCUCGACUUCGGAAGGGGUGUAUUUAUUAGAUAAAAAACCAAUGCCCUUCGGGGCUCCUUGGUGAUUCAUAAUAACUUAACGAAUCGCAUGGCCUUGCGCCGGCGAUGGUUCAUUCAAAUUUCUGCCCUAUCAACUUUCGAUGGUAGAAUAGUGGUCUACCAUGGUUUCAACGGGUAACGGGGAAUUAGGGUUCUAUUCCGGAGAGGGAGCCUGAGAAACGGCUACCACAUCCAAGGAAGGCAGCAGGCGCGCAAAUUACCCAAUCCCGAUACGGGGAGGUAGUGACAAUAAAUACUGAUACAGGGCUCUUUCGGGUCUUGUAAUUGGAAUGAGUACAAUCUAAAUCCCUUAACGAGGAACAAUUGGAGGGCAAGUCUGGUGCCAGCAGCCGCGGUAAUUCCAGCUCCAAUAGCGUAUAUUAAAGUUGUUGCAGUUAAAAAGCUCGUAGUUGAACCUUGGGCCUGACCGAUCUGUCCUCCUAAUCGAGCGCACGGAUUCGGUUGGGCCUUUCCUUCUGGGGAGCCCUAUGCCCUUCACUGGGCGUAGUGGGGAACCAGGACUUUUACCUUGAAAAAAUUAGAGUGUUCAAAGCAGGCAUUUGCUCGAAUACAUUAGCAUGGAAUAAUAGAAUAGGACAUCGGUUCUAUUUUGUUGGUUUCUAGGACCGCUGUAAUGAUUAAUAGGGAUAGUCGGGGGCGUCAGUAUUCAAUUGUCAGAGGUGAAAUUCUUGGAUUUAUUGAAGACUAACUAUUGCGAAAGCAUUCGCCAAGGAUGUUUUCAUUAAUCAGUGAACGAAAGUUAGGGGAUCGAAGACGAUCAGAUACCGUCGUAGUCUUAACCAUAAACUAUGCCGACUAGGGAUCGGACGGUGGUUUUUUAUGCCCCGUUCGGCACCUUACGAGAAAUCAAAGUUUUUGGGCUCUGGGGGAGUAUG
rnacentral:rRNA from 1 species